UACGUAGGGUGCAAGCGUUAUCCGGAAUCACUGGGCGUAAAGCGUGCGUAGGUGGCGCGUUAAGUGAGAUGUUAAAUCGUGUGGCUCAACCAUAUCGAUGCAUCUCAUACUGGCGUGCUAGAGGACGGCAGAGGCAAGUGGAAUUGGUAGUGUAGCAGUGAAAUGCGUAGAUAUUACCAGGAACACCAAUGGCGAAGGCAGCUUGCUGGGCCACUCCUGACGCUCAUGCACGAAAGCGUGGGGAGCAAACAGG
rnacentral:rRNA from 1 species